rnacentral:rRNA from 1 species
AUUGAACGCUGGCGGCAGGCCUAACACAUGCAAGUCGAGCGAGCGGCGGACGGGUGAGUAAUGUAUGGGGACUGCCCGAUAGAGGGGGAUAACUACUGGAAACGGUGGCUAAUGCCGCAUACUAUCGGAUAACCCAUAGGGGAUUAGCUAGUAGGGGGGGUAAAGGCUCACCUAGGCUACGAUCCCUAGCUGGGCUGAGAGGCUGAUCAGCCACACUGGGACUGAGACACGGCCCAGACUCCGACGGAGGCAGCAGUGGGGAAUAUUGGACAAGGGGCGCAAGCCUGAUGUAGCCAUGCCGCGUGUAUGAAGAAGGUCUUAGGGUUGUAAAGUACUUUAAGCGGGGAGGCGUUACCCGCAGAAGAAGCACCGGCUAACUCCGUGCCAGCAGCCGCGGUAAUAC